UACAGAGGGGGCAAGCGUUGUUCGGAAUUACUGGGCGUAAAGGGCGCGUAGGCGGCCGCCUAAGUCAGACGUGAAAUCCCUCGGCUCAACCGGGGAACUGCGUCUGAUACUGGGUGGCUUGAAUCCGGGAGAGGGAUGCGGAAUUCCAGGUGUAGCGGUGAAAUGCGUAGAUAUCUGGAGGAACACCGGUGGCGAAGGCGGCAUCCUGGACCGGCAUUGACGCUGAGGCGCGAAAGCCAGGGGAGCAAACCGG
rnacentral:rRNA from 1 species